UUGACCUCAAAUCAGGUAGGACUACCCGCUGAACUUAAGCAUAUCAAUAAGCGGAGGAAAAGAAACCAACCGGGAUUGCCUCAGUAACGGCGAGUGAAGCGGCAAAAGCUCAAAUUUGAAAUCUGCGUAAGCCGAGUUGUAAUUUGAAGAUGGCUACUUUGGUAAUGGCUCUUGUCUAUGUUCCUUGGAACAGGACGUCACAGAGGGUGAGAAUCCCGUGCGAUGAGAUGUCCAUUACCGUGUAAAGUGCUUUCGAAGAGUCGAGUUGUUUGGGAAUGCAGCUCUAAGUGGGUGGUAAAUUCCAUCUAAAGCUAAAUAUUGGCGAGAGACCGAUAGCGAACAAGUACAGUGAUGGAAAGAUGAAAAGAACUUUGAAAAGAGAGUGAAAAAGUACGUGAAAUUGUUGAAAGGGAAGGGCUUGAGAUCAGACUUGGUAUUUUGUAUGGCUUGCUUUCGGGCGGGUCCUCUGCAGUUUACUGGGCCAGCAUCGGUUUGGGUGGCAGGAUAAUAGCAUUGGAAUGUGGCUCUACUUCGGUGGAGUGUUAUAGCCUUUGUUGAUACUGCCUGGCUAGACCGAGGACUGCGUCUUUUGACUAGGAUGCUGGCAUAAUGAUCCUAAGCCGCCCGUCUUGAAACACGGACCA
rnacentral:rRNA from 1 species